rnacentral:lncRNA from 1 species
CAGAAUCCGUUUCCAAUUUGGUCUCUGGUCUUCUGCUGGGAAGGGAGUGUCUCCUCCUGGCAACACCCCGCCUAACACUCGCGCCUCACUCAUUCAGAGUCAAGAUUAUGUCAUCUUCCAAGUCGGAGUUAUCAGAGCUGUCAGUAUCUCCAAGAAUCAGCUCAACUUCCUCAUCAGCAUCAGAGUCUUCAUCUUCACCCUCAUCACCCUCUUCCAGGAGGUUGGCAAGUUCCUCAUCAUCGGAGGGCGAAAAGUCAUUUUCUCCAUCCUCACCAGCGUUCUCAUUGUUCUCAUCCUCCUCCAACUCAGCCUCCAGCAGCUGGUCUGUAUCUAAUUCAUCGAGGUCAUCUGUAUCAUCAUCAUCUUCGUCAUCAUCUUCUUCCUCUUGCUCUUCUUCCUCCUGAUCUUCUUCUUCAUCCUCUUCAUCUUCUGCCAAACGCUGCCUGCCCACUUCAUACAGUCUGCAAACUGUAUCCAUGUUCAUGGAAUCCAUGCUGCCUUGAUUCUCAAUGACAGCCAGAUAGCAAUCCUUGCUGUCUGUGCACAAGUCAAAGAUAUUCCGCUUUACAUCUAUGGUAGCUAUGGGUUUAUAAUCAGUGGCAUUAAACGUCCUGAAAGAAGAGCCGAAGGGACUUCUCAUUCUCUCCUCCAGAAGUUCAUCUUCAUCAUCUGCCUGCAACAUAG